rnacentral:rRNA from 1 species
UACGUAGGGUGCGAGCGUUGUCCGGAAUUUAUUGGGCGUAAAGGGCUCGUAGGCGGUCUGUUGCGUCGGGAGUGAAAACUCAGGGCUUAACCCUGAGCCUGCUUCCGAUACGGGCAGACUAGAGGUAUGCAGGGGAGAACGGAAUUCCUGGUGUAGCGGUGAAAUGCGCAGAUAUCAGGAGGAACACCGGUGGCGAAGGCGGUUCUCUGGGCAUGUCCUGACGCUGAGGAGCGAAAGUGUGGGGAGCGAACAGG